rnacentral:tRNA from 1 species
CGGCGUGGUGGUGGAGGAACGCCGCAGCGCGCCGCUGUCGCCGGUGGUCGCCAAGACCGCCGCCGGGGCCACGUCGUUCCUGCCGGUCGCGCAGACCA